GGCCUUUUUUGCCGGUUCUUCCCGCUGAGGAAGUGUCGCUCAAGACGCUGGCCUAUGAACUUCCUAGCAUGGGCUGUUGUGCUGGAGAGAACGAGAGCUACGAAGAGACUACAGUGCCUCUGACUUUUUCAUAGGACAGUUGGCCGAGGAAGACAAACAUAAAGAUGAAGUGCUUAAUUCAAGGUCACACAAUGUCGGGGAUGGACCUCCAGAUUUCCUUACUGACCUGCAUUAUCUUGUGGAUACCUGAGUGAAUUCCACACCACCCAUUUUAUAGAUGAAACCACUGAGACAUGGAGCAAUUGACUGAGUAGUCACUGCCCCACCCCUGCCUGGAGCCUCACACAUGACUCGCCUCCUCUCAGUGACCACAGGAAAACAAGCUCAGGGCUCCCACUGAUUGUACAUUAUGGUGAGACGUGGUCUUGUAACACAGUGGUUAAGAAUGUGACUUUGGAGCCAGCCUGCUAGGGGCUGAAUUCUGACUCAGCCAUUUACUAACUGUGUGACCUUAGGCUGGAGUGCAAUGGCAUGAUCUCGGCUCAUCACAACCUCUGCUUCCUGGGUUCAAGCGAUUCUCCUGCCUCAGCCUCCCGAG
rnacentral:lncRNA from 1 species